rnacentral:rRNA from 1 species
AUUGAACGCUGGCGGCAUGCCUUACACAUGCAAGUCGAACGGCAGCACGGGUGCUUGCACCUGGUGGCGAGUGGCGAACGGGUGAGUAAUACAUCGGAACGUACCUUAUCGUGGGGGAUAACGCAGCGAAAGCUGUGCUAAUACCGCAUACGCCCUGAGGGGGAAAGCGGGGGAUCGAAAGACCUCGCGCGAUUAGAGCGGCCGAUGCCUGAUUAGCUUGUUGGUGGGGUAAAAGCCCACCAAGGCGACGAUCAGUAGCUGGUCUGAGAGGACGAUCCGCCACACUGGGGCUGGGACACGGCCCAGACUCCGACGGGAUGAAGCAGUGGGGAAUUUUGGACAAUGGGGGCAACCCUGAUCCAGCGAUGCCGCGUGAGUGAAAAAGGCCUUCGGGUUGUAAAGCUCUUUUGUCAGGGAAGAAACACCGGCUCUAACACAGUCCGGGAAUGACGGUACCUGAAGAAUAAGCACCGGCUAACUACGUGCCAGCCGCCGCCGUAA